AAAAUGUAUAACCUUGAGAGACGGAAAGUCAGGUAUUCAGCAUAGAGUUACGAGCCUCAUUUAGGUUUUGUGCGGUGAAGUACCGGUAGGGAAACUACUAUACAUAUCCGUUGAUUGCUCACGACCAUAAAGUCAUAACGCAGAAAUGGAAAAGUCUUCCAACUUGAGGUUUUUUGCUAGUGAAUUAGUUCCUGUCAUUGAUAUCUGUUUCAUUAUUCCCCGCUUUACAAUGGCGAAACAGAGAUAAGAUAUGAAUGCGAAGUAUAUAAAGCAGGCACUAUGGAGUGGAACUAGAUAC